UACAGAGGUCUCAAGCGUUGUUCGGAUUCAUUGGGCGUAAAGGGUGUGUAGGUGGCGCGCUAAGUCGGGGUGUGAAAUUUCGGAGCUUAACUCCGAAACUGCAUUCGAUACUGGCGUGCUUGAGGACUGGAGAGGAGACUGGAAUUUACGGUGUAGCGGUGAAAUGCGUAGAUAUCGUAAGGAAGACCAGUGGCGAAGGCGGGUCUCUGGACAGUUCCUGACGCUGAGGCACGAAGGCCAGGGGGAGCAAAACGGG
rnacentral:rRNA from 1 species